GAGUUUUGCAUAGAAAACGUCGACCUAUAAAUACUCCCUUCCCUCCUCUGUUGCCUAAGGCAAGCAUUCCCCUGCUUCCACCAAAAUGUUAUUCAUCAACUAAGCCUUUUGUGUCCCAUUUUGGGAAGAGGAAUGAAACGUAACUUCUCAGCCACAAUGACUAUCCCUACACCACCGGACCAAUAGAACAAGGUGGUUGAAUAUAGAUUAACUCCAGCAGACUAAGAGCUGUUAAUCAUAUUUCGAAGAGAAAAUAUAUUUAAUUGUGAUGAUGAUGCCUCGCUAAUCACGGAGAUCAAAGCUUGUUCCUUUGAACCGUGGGAUCUACCUAAUGUAGACCAUACAGGUUUAGAGGAUCAAGUGUGAUAUUUCUUUUACUACCGUGAUUAUAAAGUAUUCGGGUGAUGGACAUUCAAAUCCAGCAAUGAGGAUAGAAUAUUGGAAAUCCACUAGAAGUUCUGUGAAGUGGAAGAUAACACCAAAGAAGAGAUUGGUACAAAAAAAAUAUAAUUUUUUCUAAAAGAUUAUGGUGGAUGGUUUUAAUUUUGAAAUUUGUAAUCACAACCAGAUGGCAACGAAUUCAUAUAUGGUUUGUGAUCUUGGAAAUUAUGUAAUUUCCAACCAGCUUGACUAAAAUGUCAACCUGCGAACAAGUUGAGCGGAGUGGCAUCGUAGCUUUUGAUUAUGAAAAUCAAAAUCUAAAAGAGAUGGCCAUUCAUUCAGCUAAUUAUAAAGGACUUCACAAGUUGGAUCCUAAUCAAGAGGAUCAAAAUCCAAAUGAGAUGGCUAACUGCUAUGUCAACCUAUGCAAAUGGAGAUAAAAAUGCAGCGGAUGCAACGCCUUAAAGGUGUGAAAUUGCAUCUUUGCAGGCCAUUCUAUACCAGCCUGUACCUCUGUCCUUCAAUUCCUAUUAGCUAUUAGCUGUUCAAAUUUGUACCUUAUAAUAUUAGUAUUAAUAAGCAAUGUUUGCAUUUGAUAUUGUAUGAAGGUCCAAUGUAUUGCUGAAGGAAGCUUUGUUUAAAAUGUACCAAUUGUCGCCCCUUAUCUUUGAGUUUUGACUGUAAAAUGUGUAUUAAAGAAUGCAUUUCUGACUGAGGAAAGCCUCUCCUACACCAGCUUUGCUACCUUUCUGCCUAGCAAAACAAGUUCUGAGAUGGGAUCUACAUGAGAAUGUUCCUCUGCCCUAUUUUGUAUUCUAUAACAAGUAUAUAAACUGAAAACUCAACAUAGUUUAUACUGUUCCACAUGUUUAA